rnacentral:rRNA from 1 species
UACGUAGGGUGCGAGCGUUGUCCGGAAUUAUUGGGCGUAAAGAGCUCGUAGGCGGUGUGUCACGUCGGCCGUGAAAACCUGCAGCUUAACUGUGGGCGUGCGGUCGAUACGGGCAUCACUGGAGUUCGGCAGGGGAGACUGGAAUUCCUGGUGUAGCGGUGAAAUGCGCAGAUAUCAGGAGGAACACCGGUGGCGAAGGCGGAUCUCUGGGCCAUAACUGACGCUGAGGAGCGAAAGCAUGGGGAGCGAACAGG